rnacentral:rRNA from 1 species
UACGAAGGGGGCUAGCGUUGUUCGGAAUUACUGGGCGUAAAGGGCGCGUAGGCGGCCUUCUAAGUCGAACGUGAAAUCCCUGGGCUCAACCCAGGAACUGCGUCCGAUACUGAAAGGCUUGAAUCCGGGAGAGGGAUGCGGAAUUCCUGGUGUAGCGGUGAAAUGCGCAGAUAUCAGGAAGAACACCCGUGGCGAAGGCGGCUCUCUGGGACGGUACUGACGCUGAGACGCGAAAGCGUGGGGAGCGAACAGG